GGAUGUGAGGGCGAUCUGCCUGAGACAUCUGUUACCCCAUUGAUUGCCAGGGUUGAUUCGGCUGAUCUGGCUGGCUAGGCAGGUGUCUCCUUCCUCCCUCAACACUCCAUGUGCAUCCCUCCUGAAGCUGCAUGCUUGGUCAAAGAGGACAACCAUCCCUGAUAGAGGAGGACCGUUCCUCAGUCAAGGGUAUACGAGUAGCUGCUCUCCCCUGCUCCCAGUCACCUUCAAAAUAUUCCCCUUCACACUGAACAUGCUUAUCCUACCAUUCUUGCACUUUCUGGAGCAGUUGUGGAAGUUGCCUUUCAUCACUGAAUUUUGUUGCAUUGUGAUGGUUGCCUUGAUGUCAUAAAU
rnacentral:snRNA from 1 species